rnacentral:rRNA from 1 species
AUUGAACGCUGGCGGCAUGCCUUACACAUGCAAGUCGAACGGCAGCAUGAUCUAGCUUGCUAGAUUGAUGGCGAGUGGCGAACGGGUGAGUAAUACAUCGGAACGUGCCCUGUAGUGGGGGAUAACUAGUCGAAAGAUUAGCUAAUACCGCAUACGACCUGAGGGUGAAAGUGGGGGACCGCAAGGCCUCAUGCUAUAGGAGCGGCCGAUAUCUGAUUAGCUAGUUGGUGAGGUAAAGGCUCACCAAGGCGACGAUCAGUAGCUGGUCUGAGAGGACGAUCAGCCACACUGGGACUGAGACACGGCCCAGACUCCUACGGGAGGCAGCAGUGGGGAAUUUUGGACAAUGGGCGAAAGCCUGAUCCAGCAAUGCCGCGUGUGUGAAGAAGGCCUUCGGGUUGUAAAGCACUUUUGUCCGGAAAGAAAUGGCUCUGGUUAAUACCUGGGGUCGAUGACGGUACCGGAAGAAUAAGAACCGGCUAACUACGUG